AUCUAUUUCACAUUUUUAUGU
ensembl:piRNA 21ur-5300 ncRNA